AGAGUUUGAUCAUGGCUCAGAUUGAACGCUGGCGGCAGGCCUAACACAUGCAAGUCGAGCGGUAGCACAGAGAGCUUGCUCUCGGGUGACGAGCGGCGGACGGGUGAGUAAUGUCUGGGAAACUGCCUGAUGGAGGGGGAUAACUACUGGAAACGGUAGCUAAUACCGCAUAAUGUCGCAAGACCAAAGUGGGGGACCUUCGGGCCUCAUGCCAUCAGAUGUGCCCAGAUGGGAUUAGCUAGUAGGUGGGGUAACGGCUCACCUAGGCGACGAUCCCUAGCUGGUCUGAGAGGAUGACCAGCCACACUGGAACUGAGACACGGUCCAGACUCCUACGGGAGGCAGCAGUGGGGAAUAUUGCACAAUGGGCGCAAGCCUGAUGCAGCCAUGCCGCGUGUGUGAAGAAGGCCUUCGGGUUGUAAAGCACUUUCAGCGGGGAGGAAGGCGUUAAGGUUAAUAACCUUGGCGAUUGACGUUACCCGCAGAAGAAGCACCGGCUAACUCCGUGCCAGCAGCCGCGGUAAUACGGAGGGUGCAAGCGUUAAUCGGAAUUACUGGGCGUAAAGCGCACGCAGGCGGUCUGUCAAGUCGGAUGUGAAAUCCCCGGGCUCAACCUGGGAACUGCAUUCGAAACUGGCAGGCUAGAGUCUUGUAGAGGGGGGUAGAAUUCCAGGUGUAGCGGUGAAAUGCGUAGAGAUCUGGAGGAAUACCGGUGGCGAAGGCGGCCCCCUGGACAAAGACUGACGCUCAGGUGCGAAAGCGUGGGGAGCAAACAGGAUUAGAUACCCUGGUAGUCCACGCCGUAAACGAUGUCGAUUUGGAGGUUGUGCCCUUGAGGCGUGGCUUCCGGAGCUAACGCGUUAAAUCGACCGCCUGGGGAGUACGGCCGCAAGGUUAAAACUCAAAUGAAUUGACGGGGGCCCGCACAAGCGGUGGAGCAUGUGGUUUAAUUCGAUGCAACGCGAAGAACCUUACCUGGUCUUGACAUCCACAGAACUUUCCAGAGAUGGAUUGGUGCCUUCGGGAACUGUGAGACAGGUGCUGCAUGGCUGUCGUCAGCUCGUGUUGUGAAAUGUUGGGUUAAGUCCCGCAACGAGCGCAACCCUUAUCCUUUGUUGCCAGCGGUUAGGCCGGGAACUCAAAGGAGACUGCCAGUGAUAAACUGGAGGAAGGUGGGGAUGACGUCAAGUCAUCAUGGCCCUUACGACCAGGGCUACACACGUGCUACAAUGGCAUAUACAAAGAGAAGCGACCUCGCGAGAGCAAGCGGACCUCAUAAAGUAUGUCGUAGUCCGGAUUGGAGUCUGCAACUCGACUCCAUGAAGUCGGAAUCGCUAGUAAUCGUAGAUCAGAAUGCUACGGUGAAUACGUUCCCGGGCCUUGUACACACCGCCCGUCACACCAUGGGAGUGGGUUGCAAAAGAAGUAGGUAGCUUAACCUUCGGGAGGGCGCUUACCACUUUGUGAUUCAUGACUGGGGUGAAGUCGUAACAAGGUAACCGUAGGGGAACCUGCGGUUGGAUCACCU
rnacentral:rRNA from 12 species